rnacentral:lncRNA from 1 species
CAGCCUUUUGCUCGCGCAAUAUGGCGAUUACUGCACCCUCGAACAUAGCGAACGUUGUUCCACCAAUAACGCCUGCAAGUAAAAAUCAGAGAAGACGUAUCUACUGAAGACGAGGCGACCCGGCAAUGGAUUAUGAGAUACGGCACAGUAAUUACCACGAAUUGUCAGCGUUGUCAGAGUUGAAUGUUGGUCCAUUACAAAUGUAAUUGCAUAACUCGUGCAACGUUGGACUUUGUUGAACGAGUCCGAGUGUUAAGUAUUCUCUUCCUGAAAGAUUCUACUUCUCUUCGUUUUCCCCCCAUCUUUUAUUUUCGUCUCUGUUAUACUUUCAAUUUGGAAAAAAUUGAACGAAAUAGAAAAAAAUUUGCACGCAAGGUUUAGAAGUUUGAACGCAUAAUGGUUAUUAAGUAAUUGCGUUCAAACAACGACUUGUCGUGGAAGCAUAUAGUGG